GGGCCAGAGGGAUGGGGGGGCGUGAAAGGAACCAGAUCUAGGGUUUCAGGGUUAGAUCUUGAAACUUUUUCAAGAUCAGGCAGCAGAAGACUAAAUAAACUAAAAUUUAUUUUCUAAAACUAGAGAAUUCCUAGAUCUAAGAUUCUAUUACAUGAUUAUUACAUAGCAUUAAAUUAAAAAUUAAAAUAUAUAGAGCAUGAACUACAUGUUGAUCAUAU
rnacentral:lncRNA from 1 species